GGGUUGUGAGGUUAAGCGACUAAGCGUACACGGUGGAUGCCCUGGCAGUCAGAGGCGAUGAAGGACGUGCUAAUCUGCGAUAAGCGUCGGUAAGGUGAUAUGAACCGUUAUAACCGGCGAUUUCCGAAUGGGGAAACCCAGUGUGUUUCGACACACUAUCAUUAACUGAAUCCAUAGGUUAAUGAGGCGAACCGGGGGAACUGAAACAUCUAAGUACCCCGAGGAAAAGAAAUCAACCGAGAUUCCCCCAGUAGCGGCGAGCGAACGGGGAGCAGCCCAGAGCCUGAAUCAGUGUGUGUGUUAGUGGAAGCGUCUGGAAAGGCGCGCGAUACAGGGUGACAGCCCCGUACACAAAAAUGCACAUGCUGUGAGCUCGAUGAGUAGGGCGGGACACGUGGUAUCCUGUCUGAAUAUGGGGGGACCAUCCUCCAAGGCUAAAUACUCCUGACUGACCGAUAGUGAACCAGUACCGUGAGGGAAAGGCGAAAAGAACCCCGGCGAGGGGAGUGAAAAAGAACCUGAAACCGUGUACGUACAAGCAGUGGGAGCACGCUUAGGCGUGUGACUGCGUACCUUUUGUAUAAUGGGUCAGCGACUUAUAUUCUGUAGCAAGGUUAACCGAAUAGGGGAGCCGAAGGGAAACCGAGUCUUAACUGGGCGUUAAGUUGCAGGGUAUAGACCCGAAACCCGGUGAUCUAGCCAUGGGCAGGUUGAAGGUUGGGUAACACUAACUGGAGGACCGAACCGACUAAUGUUGAAAAAUUAGCGGAUGACUUGUGGCUGGGGGUGAAAGGCCAAUCAAACCGGGAGAUAGCUGGUUCUCCCCGAAAGCUAUUUAGGUAGCGCCUCGUGAAUUCAUCUCCGGGGGUAGAGCACUGUUUCGGCAAGGGGGUCAUCCCGACUUACCAACCCGAUGCAAACUGCGAAUACCGGAGAAUGUUAUCACGGGAGACACACGGCGGGUGCUAACGUCCGUCGUGAAGAGGGAAACAACCCAGACCGCCAGCUAAGGUCCCAAAGUCAUGGUUAAGUGGGAAACGAUGUGGGAAGGCCCAGACAGCCAGGAUGUUGGCUUAGAAGCAGCCAUCAUUUAAAGAAAGCGUAAUAGCUCACUGGUCGAGUCGGCCUGCGCGGAAGAUGUAACGGGGCUAAACCAUGCACCGAAGCUGCGGCAGCGACACUAUGUGUUGUUGGGUAGGGGAGCGUUCUGUAAGCCUGCGAAGGUGUGCUGUGAGGCAUGCUGGAGGUAUCAGAAGUGCGAAUGCUGACAUAAGUAACGAUAAAGCGGGUGAAAAGCCCGCUCGCCGGAAGACCAAGGGUUCCUGUCCAACGUUAAUCGGGGCAGGGUGAGUCGACCCCUAAGGCGAGGCCGAAAGGCGUAGUCGAUGGGAAACAGGUUAAUAUUCCUGUACUUGGUGUUACUGCGAAGGGGGGACGGAGAAGGCUAUGUUGGCCGGGCGACGGUUGUCCCGGUUUAAGCGUGUAGGCUGGUUUUCCAGGCAAAUCCGGAAAAUCAAGGCUGAGGCGUGAUGACGAGGCACUACGGUGCUGAAGCAACAAAUGCCCUGCUUCCAGGAAAAGCCUCUAAGCAUCAGGUAACAUCAAAUCGUACCCCAAACCGACACAGGUGGUCAGGUAGAGAAUACCAAGGCGCUUGAGAGAACUCGGGUGAAGGAACUAGGCAAAAUGGUGCCGUAACUUCGGGAGAAGGCACGCUGAUAUGUAGGUGAAGUCCCUCGCGGAUGGAGCUGAAAUCAGUCGAAGAUACCAGCUGGCUGCAACUGUUUAUUAAAAACACAGCACUGUGCAAACACGAAAGUGGACGUAUACGGUGUGACGCCUGCCCGGUGCCGGAAGGUUAAUUGAUGGGGUUAGCCGCAAGGCGAAGCUCUUGAUCGAAGCCCCGGUAAACGGCGGCCGUAACUAUAACGGUCCUAAGGUAGCGAAAUUCCUUGUCGGGUAAGUUCCGACCUGCACGAAUGGCGUAAUGAUGGCCAGGCUGUCUCCACCCGAGACUCAGUGAAAUUGAACUCGCUGUGAAGAUGCAGUGUACCCGCGGCAAGACGGAAAGACCCCGUGAACCUUUACUAUAGCUUGACACUGAACAUUGAGCCUUGAUGUGUAGGAUAGGUGGGAGGCUUUGAAGUGUGGACGCCAGUCUGCAUGGAGCCGACCUUGAAAUACCACCCUUUAAUGUUUGAUGUUCUAACGUUGACCCGUAAUCCGGGUUGCGGACAGUGUCUGGUGGGUAGUUUGACUGGGGCGGUCUCCUCCUAAAGAGUAACGGAGGAGCACGAAGGUUGGCUAAUCCUGGUCGGACAUCAGGAGGUUAGUGCAAUGGCAUAAGCCAGCUUGACUGCGAGCGUGACGGCGCGAGCAGGUGCGAAAGCAGGUCAUAGUGAUCCGGUGGUUCUGAAUGGAAGGGCCAUCGCUCAACGGAUAAAAGGUACUCCGGGGAUAACAGGCUGAUACCGCCCAAGAGUUCAUAUCGACGGCGGUGUUUGGCACCUCGAUGUCGGCUCAUCACAUCCUGGGGCUGAAGUAGGUCCCAAGGGUAUGGCUGUUCGCCAUUUAAAGUGGUACGCGAGCUGGGUUUAGAACGUCGUGAGACAGUUCGGUCCCUAUCUGCCGUGGGCGCUGGAGAACUGAGGGGGGCUGCUCCUAGUACGAGAGGACCGGAGUGGACGCAUCACUGGUGUUCGGGUUGUCAUGCCAAUGGCACUGCCCGGUAGCUAAAUGCGGAAGAGAUAAGUGCUGAAAGCAUCUAAGCACGAAACUUGCCCCGAGAUGAGUUCUCCCUGACCCUUUAAGGGUCCUGAAGGAACGUUGAAGACGACGACGUUGAUAGGCCGGGUGUGUAAGCGCAGCGAUGCGUUGAGCUAACCGGUACUAAUGAACCGUGAGGCUUAACCUUACAACGCCGAAGCUGUU
rnacentral:rRNA from 1 species